UACGUAGGGUGCGAGCGUUAAUCGGAAUUACUGGGCGUAAAGCGUGCGCAGGCGGUGAUGUAAGACCGACGUGAAAUCCCCGGGCUUAACCUGGGAACUGCAUUGGUGACUGCAUCGCUCGAGUAUGGCAGAGGGGGGUAGAAUUCCACGUGUAGCAGUGAAAUGCGUAGAGAUGUGGAGGAAUACCGAUGGCGAAGGCAGCCCCCUGGGUCAAUACUGACGCUCAUGCGCGAAAGCGUGGGGAGCAAACAGG
rnacentral:rRNA from 1 species